rnacentral:tRNA from 1 species
GCCUGUGUGGCGGAAUGGUAGACGCUACAGACUUAAAAUCUGUUGCCUUCUUGGGCGUGUGGGUUCGAGUCCCUCCAUGGGCACCA